AUGAACGCUGGCGGCGUGCCUAAUACAUGCAAGUAGAACGCUGAAGCUUGGUGCUUGCACCGAGCGGAUGAGUUGCGAACGGGUGAGUAACGCGUAGGUAACCUGCCUCUUAGCGGGGGAUAACUAUUGGAAACGAUAGCUAAUACCGCAUAAAAGUCGAUAUCGCAUGAUAUUGAUUUGAAAGGUGCAAAUGCAUCACUAAGAGAUGGACCUGCGUUGUAUUAGCUAGUUGGUGAGGUAACGGCUCACCAAGGCGACGAUACAUAGCCGACCUGAGAGGGUGAUCGGCCACACUGGGACUGAGACACGGCCCAGACUCCUACGGGAGGCAGCAGUAGGGAAUCUUCGGCAAUGGGGGCAACCCUGACCGAGCAACGCCGCGUGAGUGAAGAAGGUUUUCGGAUCGUAAAGCUCUGUUGUAAGAGAAGAACGAGUGUGAGAGUGGAAAGUUCACACUGUGACGGUAACUUACCAGAAAGGGACGGCUAACUACGUG
rnacentral:rRNA from 1 species